ACGGAUGGUGCAAGCGUUAAUCGGAAUUACUGGGCGUAAAGCGCACGUAGGUGGUUUGUUAAGUCGGAUGUGAAAGCCCAGGGCUCAACCUUGGAAUUGCAUCCGAUACUGGCAGGCUAGAGUACGAGAGAGGGAGGUAGAAUUUCAGGUGUAGCGGUGAAAUGCGUAGAGAUCUGAAGGAAUACCGGUGGCGAAGGCGGCCUCCUGGCUUGAUACUGACACUGAGGUGCGAAAGCGUGGGGAGCAAACAGG
rnacentral:rRNA from 1 species